GAUGAACGCUGGCGGCGUGCUUAACACAUGCAAGUCGAACGGAAAGGCCGAAGCUUGCUUCGGUACUCGAGUGGCGAACGGGUGAGUAACACGUGGGUGAUCUGCCCUGUACUUCGGGAUAAGCUUGGGAAACUGGGUCUAAUACCGGAUAUGACGAUCUCUUGGAUGGGGUUGUGGAAAGCUUUUGCGGUAUGGGAUGAGCUCGCGGCCUAUCAGCUUGUUGGUGGGGUAAUGGCCUACCAAGGCGUCGACGGGUGGCCGGCCUGAGAGGGUGUACGGCCACAUUGGGACGGAGAUACGGCCCAGACUCCUACGGGAGGCAGCAGUGGGGAAUAUUGCACAAUGGGCGCAAGCCUGAUGCAGCGACGCCGCGUGGGGGAUGACGGCCUUCGGGUUGUAAACUCCUUUCGCAAUCGACGAAGCCUUUUGGUGACGGUAGGUUGAGAAGAAGCACCGGCUAACUACGUG
rnacentral:rRNA from 1 species